ensembl:lncRNA
AUGCCUUGCAUUGAAAUGGACUGUUCAACCCAUACCCCAACUCUUUGAUUGUAGGAGGGGUUAAAGAUUAGAGGGUGCGAUUGUGUGUAUGAAUGUGUUGGAUGUGGGAAAGGUGUGUGAUUGUGUUUGCACGUGUGUGUGUGUGUAUGUGUUUGUGUGUGUGCAUGUGUAGGUGAAAAAGUGUGUGUGUGUGUGUGUUUUCUGUGUGUUCAUGCGUAGGUGAAAAGGUGUGUGUGUGUGUGUGUGUGUGUGUGUGUGUGUGUGUGUGUGUGUGGCUACAAAGAGCCUCUGUUUGGGCCUAAGAGUGGGGUUACCUGCUCUGCUCUCUGCGUCAGAGAGUGGGGAAGUGGCGAGAGAGAAGACAAAGGCAGCGACCAGCAUUACAUCAAUUUCAG